UACGGAGGGUGCAAGCGUUAUCCGGAUUUACUGGGUUUAAAGGGUGCGUAGGUGGAUAAGUAAGUCAGUGGUGAAAUCUUCGGGCUUAACCCGGAAACUGCCAUUGAUACUAUUUGUCUUGAAUACUUUGGAGGUAAGCGGAAUAUGUCAUGUAGCGGUGAAAUGCUUAGAUAUGACAUAGAACACCAAUUGCGAAGGCAGCUUACUACACAGUAUUUGACACUGAGGCACGAAAGCGUGGGGAGCAAACAGG
rnacentral:rRNA from 1 species